rnacentral:rRNA from 1 species
UACGAAGGGGGCUAGCGUUGUUCGGAAUUACUGGGCGUAAAGCGCACGUAGGCGGAUCGAUCAGUCAGGGGUGAAAUCCCAGGGCUCAACCCUGGAACUGCCUUUGAUACUGUCGAUCUGGAGUAUGGAAGAGGUGAGUGGAAUUCCGAGUGUAGAGGUGAAAUUCGUAGAUAUUCGGAGGAACCCCAGUGGCGAAGGCGGCUCACUGGUCCGGUACUGACGCUGAGGUGCGAAAGCGUGGGGAGCAAACAGG